rnacentral:rRNA from 1 species
AUUGAACGCUGGCGGCAGGCCUAACACAUGCAAGUCGAACGAGUGGCGGACGGGUGAGUAAUGUCUGGGAAACUGCCUGAUGGAGGGGGAUAACUACUGGAAACGGUAGCUAAUACCGCAUACCAUCAGAUGUGCCCAGAUGGGUUUAGCUGGGUGGUGGGGUAACGGCUAACAAAGGCGACGCUCCCUAGCUGGGCUGAGAGGAGGACCAGCAACCUGGGAACUGAGACACGGUCCAGACCCGUACGGGAGGCAGCAGUGGGGAAUAUUGCACAAUGGGGGCAAUCCUGAUGCAGCCAUGCCGCGUGGAUGAAGAAGGCCUUCGGGUUGUAAAGUACUUUCAGCGGGGAGGCGUUACCCGAAGAAGAAGCACCGGCUAACUCCGUGCCAGCCGCCGCGGUAAUUC